rnacentral:rRNA from 1 species
GAUGAACGCUGGCGGUGUGCCUAAUACAUGCAAGUCGAGCGAAGAGGGGACGGGUGAGUAACACGUGGAUAACCUCCUAUAAGACUGGGAUAACCUCGGGAAACCGGAGCUAAAACGGAUACUUCUAGAAGGACCCGCGCUGCAUUAGCUAGUUGGUAAGCUAACGGCUUACAAAGGCAACGAUGCAUAGCCGACCGAAGAGGUGGACCAGCCAAACUUGAACUGAGACACGGUCCAGACUCCUACGGGAGGCAGCAGUAGGGAAUCUUCCGCAAUGGGCGAAAGCCUGACGGAGCAACGCCGCGUGAGUGAAGAAGGGCUUCGGAUCGUAAAACUCUGUCAGCAGGGAAGCGGUACCUAAUCAGAAAGCCACGGCUAACUACGUGCCAGCAGCCGCGGUAAUUC